rnacentral:rRNA from 1 species
AUUGAACGCUGGCGGCAUGCUUUACACAUGCAAGUCGAACGGUAACAGGCCGCAAGGUGCUGACGAGUGGCGAACGGGUGAGUAAUGCAUCGGAACGUGCCCAGUCGUGGGGGAUAACGCAGCGAAAGCUGCGCUAAUACCGCAUACGAUCUAUGGAUGAAAGCGGGGGACCGUAAGGCCUCGCGCGAUUGGAGCGGCCGAUGUCAGAUUAGGUAGUUGGUGGGGUAAAGGCUCACCAAGCCGACGAUCUGUAGCUGGUCUGAGAGGACGACCAGCCAAACUGGGACUGGGACACGGCCCAGACUCCUACGGGAGGCAGCAGUGGGGAAUUUUGGACAAUGGGGGCAACCCUGAUCCAGCAAUGCCGCGUGCAGGAAGAAGGCCUUCGGGUUGUAAACUGCUUUUGUACGGAACGAAACGGCUCUGGUUAAUACCUGGGGUUAAUGACGGUACCGUAAGAAUAAGCACCGGCUAACUUCGUGCCAGCCGCCGCGGUAAAAC